rnacentral:rRNA from 1 species
UGGGGAAUAUUGCACAAUGGGCGAAAGCCUGAUGCAGCGACGCCGCGUGAGGGAUGACGGCCUUCGGGUUGUAAACCUCUUUCAGCAGGGAAGAAGCGAAAGUGACGGUACCUGCAGAAGAAGCGCCGGCUAACUACGUGCCAGCAGCCGCGGUAAUACGUAGGGCGCAAGCGUUGUCCGGAAUUAUUGGGCGUAAAGAGCUCGUAGGCGGUUAGUCGCGUCUGCUGUGAAAACUCGAGGCUCAACCUCGGGCUUGCAGUGGGUACGGGCUGACUAGAGUGCGGUAGGGGUGACUGGAAUUCCUGGUGUAGCGGUGGAAUGCGCAGAUAUCAGGAGGAACACCGAUGGCGAAGGCAGGUCACUGGGCCGCAACUGACGCUGAGGAGCGAAAGCAUGGGGAGCGAACAGGAUUAGAUACCCUGGUAGUCCAUGCCGUAAACGUUGGGCACUAGGUGUGGGGUCCAUUUCCACGGAUUCCGUGCCGCAGCAAACGCAUUAAGUGCCCCGCCUGGGGAGUACGGCCGCAAGGCUAAAACUCAAAUGAAUUGACGGGGUCAUAGCUGUUUCCU